UGGCUAUGAUUUAAAAAUUUAUCCGCGCUUCUGAGAGCAAUCUAUGAAGUAUACGAUAAAAUAAUGGUUGAAUUUCUUAAUAUGAGCCU
rfam:Nicotiana sylvestris Nsyl_contig20110, whole genome shotgun sequence.